UACGUAGGUGGCAAGCGUUGUCCGGAUUUAUUGGGUUUAAAGGGUGCGUAGGCGGACUUUUAAGUCAGUGGUGAAAGCUCGCAGCUUAACUGUGAAAUUGCCAUUGAAACUGAAAGUCUCGAGUGUGGUUGAGGUAACUGGAAUAUAUCAUGUAACGGUGAAAUGCUUAGAUAUGAUAUAGAACACCAAUUGCGAAGGCAGGUUACUGAGCCACAACUGACGCUGAGGCACGAAAGCGUGGGGAUCAAACAGG
rnacentral:rRNA from 1 species